GCGCCCGUAGCUCAGGAGGAUAGAGCGGUGGCCUCCUAAGCCGCAGGUCGGGGGUUCGAAUCCCUCCGGGCGCA
rnacentral:tRNA from 1 species